GCGCCUGUAGCUAACCGGAUAGAGCGCUUGCCUGCGGAGCAAGAGGCAGCAAGUUCGAUUCUUGCCAGGCGCACCA
rnacentral:tRNA from 1 species